rnacentral:misc_RNA from 1 species
UUUUUUUUCAUGUAAGAGCAAAAUAAAUGUGGUUUUUAGAAAUUUUGUGCUCACACAAAUUUGUGUGCAUGAUAUUUUUGAUGUAUUUAUGUGUAAUAAUAUACGGCUUCACCAAGCACUGCCAAUAAUCAUAUGUACCUCACCAAAUGUAACAACUCAAAGUAGACCAUUUACAAGUGUAUUGUCAUGUUCCCUACAAUAUGAUAUUCUCCAUGUUUCUCUCAAAUCAGAAUCAUUAAUUGACAUCCAUAUAUACCUUUACAAUCUCUGUACAUUCUUUUGACAAAUGUGAUAUAUCCAUUUUUUUUGCCAAGGCAAUACCGAAAUUUUAAUUGUUGUACAUACAAGUAUGUCAUUGAGACAUUAUCAUGAAUAAAUGGCUAUUUUUUCUCUGCAGGAUGCAAUCUGUGUACAUUGUACAAUCAUAUCCUAUUUAAAAAUCUACUCAAAUCAGAGGCAACAAGGAUAAUUUAAUGGCUUUGUAGAUCUGAAUUUUAUUGCCGAUAGUUUGUGAAUGGCAUAUAUUAAAAAUAUGCCAUGUUUGUGUUUUCCGUUCUUUUUAUUUCACCGUUUUCAGCAGUUUGAGUCUCAAAGUACCUGGAUAAAAAAGUGUAAUGCCUACAAUAUUAUACAAAAGAAAUUUAUGUAUGAACUUGGAAUAAUCUUAACAAUUACAUAUGGACAAUUGAUACUAAAUUUACACCAAUGACACAAAAAAAUGCAAAACAUCUUGAACUUCUCAAAAUAGACACAAAAACCUCUGUCAGCUAACUUCGGAAACCCACAGUAGCUGCCAUAUUGAAUUGUCAGUUAAUUUUACUGAAAUAUAUAUUGUAGGUUGCACAGCAUGUAUACACAUACCAGCAUGUAAAUAUCAUGUAUCGUUCACAUUAUUUUAGAUAUUUUACAAAACUUUGCUAUUUAUUUAUUCAAGAUCUAAAAUGUAGUUAAUUGUAUGAUUAAAAUGAAGAAAUAUACACAUUAUAUCUGUAAGUCUUAUUCAACUUUACCAGUAGAUCCAAUCGAAUAUUUUGUUCAAAUUAAUAUACAUCCCAAAAUUGUUGCAUUAAAUUUAAAUUUUUCAAAUAUGACGAAUUUUUAAUUUUGUAUAACUUUUAAAGGUUCAAUAUUUGUACAUUUUAAGAAUCUCUUUCCUGACACUGGAAUUGUUUCAUUUACUUUGUAGCAUAAAUUUCUUGUUUCAUAACUGUAUCUCAUAGUUUUAUUCGGAUUUCCUGUUUAUGUUGUCGGGCCAGAAAUGAAAAUAAAUUAAUUUAUCUUC